CGGGACUGUGGGGGCAACUCUGCAGUCUAGUGGCGGACGGGUGAGACACACGUGGGUAACCUGCCCGGAAGUGGGGAAUACCUCGGGGAAACUCGAGCUAAUACCGCAUGACAUCUUUGGAACGAAAGUUCUGACGAUCAAAGCGGGGUCGCAAGAUCUCGCGCUACCGGAUGGGCCCGCGCCCGAUUAGCUAGUUGGUGGGGUAACGGCUCACCAAGGCUUCGAUCGGUAACCGGCCUGAGAGGGCGAUCGGUCACACCGGAACUGAGACACGGUCCGGACUCCUACGGGAGGCAGCAGUGGGGAAUCUUGCGCAAUGGGCGAAAGCCUGACGCAGCAACGCCGCGUGGAGGAUGAAGGCCCUUGGGUUGUAAACUCCUGUCGGCUGGGAAGAAAUCUUUCGGGGCUAAUACCUCCGGAAGUUGACUGUACCAGCAAAGGAAGCCCCGGCUAACUCUGUGCCAGCAGCCGCGGUAAUACAGAGGGGGCCAGCGUUACUCGGAAUUAUUGGGCGUAAAGGGCGCGUAGGCGGCCAUGCGUGUCUUCCGUGAAAUCCCUCGGCUUAACUGAGGACGUGCGGAAGAAACUGCAAGGCUCGAGUCCGGGAGAGGGGGGUGGAAUUCCCAGUGUAGCGGUGAAAUGCGUAGAUAUUGGGAGGAACACCGGUGGCGAAGGCGGCCCCCUGGACCGGUACUGACGCUGAGGCGCGAAAGCGUGGGUAGCAAACGGGAUUAGAUACCCCGGUAGUCCACGCCUUAAACGAUGGGCAC
rnacentral:rRNA from 1 species